rnacentral:rRNA from 1 species
GCGGACGGGUGAGUAACACGUGGGUAACCUGCCCUUAAGUGGGGGAUAACAUUUGGAAACAGAUGCUAAUACCGCAUAGAUCCAAGAACCGCAUGGUUCUUGGCUGAAAGAUGGCGUAAGCUAUCGCUUUUGGAUGGACCCGCGGCGUAUUAGCUAGUUGGUGAGGUAAUGGCUCACCAAGGCGAUGAUACGUAGCCGAACUGAGAGGUUGAUCGGCCACAUUGGGACUGAGACACGGCCCAAACUCCUACGGGAGGCAGCAGUAGGGAAUCUUCCACAAUGGACGCAAGUCUGAUGGAGCAACGCCGCGUGAGUGAAGAAGGCUUUCGGGUCGUAAAACUCUGUUGUUGGAGAAGAAUGGUCGGCAGAGUAACUGUUGUCGGCGUGACGGUAUCCAACCAGAAAGCCACGGCUAACUACGUGCCAGCAGCCGCGGUAAUACGUAGGUGGCAAGCGUUAUCCGGAUUUAUUGGGCGUAAAGCGAGCGCAGGCGGUUUUUUAAGUCUGAUGUGAAAGCCCUCGGCUUAACCGAGGAAGCGCAUCGGAAACUGGGAAACUUGAGUGCAGAAGAGGACAGUGGAACUCCAUGUGUAGCGGUGAAAUGCGUAGAUAUAUGGAAGAACACCAGUGGCGAAGGCGGCUGUCUGGUCUGUAACUGACGCUGAGGCUCGAAAGCAUGGGUAGCGAACAGGAUUAGAUACCCUGGU